rnacentral:rRNA from 1 species
GACGAACGCUGGCGGCGUGCUUAACACAUGCAAGUCGAACGAAGUGGCGAACGGGUGAGUAAUACGUGAGUAACCUGCCCUCCUUUUUGGGAUAAGCCUUGGAAACGGGGUCUAAUACCGAAUAAAGGGUGAUGGGCUCGCGGCCUAUCAGCUUGUUUGUUGGGUGAUUGCCUACCCAGGCGGUGACGGGUAGCCGGCCUGAGAGGGUGACCGGCAACAUUGGGACUGAGAUACGGCCCAGACUCGUACGGGAGGGAGCAGUGGGGGAUAUUGGACAAUGGGCGAAAGCCUGAUGCAGCGACGCCGCGUGGGGGAUGAAGGCUUUCGGGGUGUAAACAUCUGUCGCGAUCGAAAGGGUAGGUGGAGAAGAAGCGCCGGCUAACUACGUGCCAGCAGCCGCGGUAAUAC